GGUGGCUUAGUGGUAGAGCACUUGCCUAGCAUGCAUGAAGCCCUGAGUUCAAUUCCUCAGUACCA
rnacentral:tRNA from 1 species